rnacentral:tRNA from 1 species
CGGGUCUAGGCUGGCAUAGGGCGCGUUCGGGACGUAGAGGCCGGAGGUUCGAAUCCUCUCACCCCGACCA